rnacentral:rRNA from 1 species
UACGUAGGGUGCGAGCGUUGUCCGGAAUUAUUGGGCGUAAAGAGCUCGUAGGCGGUUUGUUGCGUCGGCCGUGAAAACUUCAACGCUUAACGUGGAGCUUGCGGUCGAUACGGGCAGACUUGAGUUCGGUAGGGGAGACUGGAAUUCCUGGUGUAGCGGUGAAAUGCGCAGAUAUCAGGAGGAACACCGGUGGCGAAGGCGGGUCUCUGGGCCGAUACUGACGCUGAGGAGCGAAAGCGUGGGGAGCGAACAGG